ACUCGGAAUCACAAUUGGAAAAGCAUAGGUGAACCUAACGAAGGCUGUCUGGAAGUGCUGUGCAUACUAGUCAUGCUUGUACUUGGAAACAGAAAUCGAUGAAGAGACAGGAAUGAAAGCUGGUAAAUUACCUGAAGAGAAUGUCUGGGAAAGCUCUGCGUACUUCGAAUCACAAUUCGAGUGGAAAAGCAGGGAUGAACUUUAAAAGACUGUCUCGAAGAGCUCUGCCUACUUGGAAAUAGAAACAUACAGGAGAGAUAGACAUGACAACCUGAAAAUGUAUGCAUCGAAGAGAUAUAAUUACUUUGGAAUAGAAGGAAAGAGUCUUCUAGGUUAUGCAAAUAGGAUGUCUGUUAGCUGAAUGAAGUUAAUAUGGGCUAAGUGACAAGGAGGUAUUCAUUGGAUAUCAACCAGGAGAGAAUGUAUGAUAUAUGCUCUUCGCACGAGAUUACACUCUUAUAGGAGGAGCACUCUGUUUGCAAGUGUAAACCUGAAUGUCAUUUCAGGAUACUGCCUCUCCUGGCCAAUCUGGUAAUCAUCCGGGUAUCAAGACUGCAUUCCACAUAUCGGCCAUGGAAUGGAAACUGUUUUUCAUCACUUCAGCCAGACCGCAAAGUUGACCUAGGUGAAGCCUUCAUUGAAUCAACUAAGGAUUCUACAACUGGUUUCAGGAUUAAAAUGUUGGUUAAUUAUUGAAAAGACUAGGUGACGGCCACAUAAGGUUGGCCUUCGAAUUGGCACUAAACUUUCUGAAACGAUGUUCAACGGUUGAUUUCUCAAUUCUAGUGACAGGAUCGAGAGAGAGCAUAUAUUAUGAUCAGUAAGCUGUCAUGUGGAAAAGAAUCCAUGCUGCAGUGACAUUGAGACGCGUGUGACUGCCAACCACUGCCGCAUCAUGUAACACGUCAAGAUGGCAUAAGAGAAAGAAUACAAGCCCUGCCAAUGUUUGAUUGGGCCGAUGUAGCCUCCCAAUCAAUUUGAAAAAGGUAAACGAUUCCUAACUUCAGCAUCUCCAUGAUCAGGAAGGGAAUCAGGAAUUAAAGAGCAAACGCGAUAUUAUUAUCUUAUCAUGCUGGAGAAUUCUAAAUAAAAGG